GUUCCCGUAGCUCGGCAGGAUAGAGCGUUGGAUUCCUAAUCCGAAGGUCGCAUGUUCAAUUCCUGCCGGGAACA
rnacentral:tRNA from 1 species